UACGUAUGGUGCAAGCGUUAUCCGGAUUUACUGGGUGUAAAGGGAGCGCAGGCGGCACGGCAAGCCUGAUGUGAAAGCCCGCGGCCCAACCGCGGGACUGCAUUGGGAACUACCGGGCUGGAGUGCCGGAGAGGUAGGCGGAAUUCCUAGUGUAGCGGUGAAAUGCGUAGAUAUUAGGAGGAACACCAGUGGCGAAGGCGGCCUACUGGACGGUGACUGACACUGAGGCUCGAAAGCGUGGGGAGCAAACAGG
rnacentral:rRNA from 1 species